rnacentral:tRNA from 1 species
GCCGAGGUAGCCAAGCCCGGUAAGGCGCGAGCCUGGAGAGCUCGUGUUCCGCAAGGAACUCAGGGGUUCAAAUCCCUUCCUCGGCG